GUUCACUUCCGCAGCACAUUUACUAAAAUUGGAAUGAAACAAAGAUUAGCAUGGGUUCUUGAGAAGGAUGACACCCAAAUUCCUGAAGCGUUCCUUAUUUUU